AGUUUAAAGAAAUUAUUUUAAAUGAAUCCUGCCCAGUGAAAAUUAUAAAUGGCCGCAGUACCCUGACUGUGCAAAGGUAGCAUAAUCAAUUGGCUUUUAAUUAAAGUCUGGAAUGAAUGGAGUUUUGGAAAAAUACUGUCUUAAAAAUAUUAAGUUGAAUUUAAUUAUUAGGUGAAAAUACCUAUAUAUAGAAAAAAGACGAGAAGACCCUUAGAGUUUUUAUAAUAUUUAAUAUAUCUAUUAAAUUUAUUUUUGUUGGGGCGACAAUUAAACAUAUAAACUUUAAUUAAUUUUUCACAACGAAAUUGUUAUAAAAGAUUAAAUUACCUUAGGGAUAACAGCAUAAUUUAAAAAAGUUUGUGACCUCGAUGUUGGACUAGAAACUAAAUGGCAAGCAGUCAAAAUAGAUUUGUUCUGUUCGAACAAUAUAAUUCU
rnacentral:rRNA from 1 species